UUCUUUUGUAUUUCAUUAUGUGAAAUUCAAAAUAUUUCUUAUUUUCUCCUUAUUGUCAUGUAAAAAAUAAAGCUUUAUUCCUUCUUGAACAUGUGAAUUACCAUUGUUUUUACAUUUACGAUCCUGUCAAGUCGGUCAUUUAUUGUCAAAUCUGUAAAAAUUUGAAUAUUGAAUAAUUCUAACAAUAAUAAACCAAAGAAAUAGUGAGUGAGGGUCAUCAUCACUGCGCUGUGUAUAUUUCUGGUGGUUUUUUUUUAAAUAAGAGAAACUUCAAAAUCUAAUAACUUUCUUAUUUUACAUCCCAUUUUGAUAAUAUUUGUUUGAUUUUUCUAUUGAAUAAAAAUCAACAUUUUCCUUGGGUGGACUUGACCUAUCAUGUUUGAAUGAAUUGAUAACAUGAGUGCAUCUGCAUCAUGGGCCCAUUCUAGCUUUAUCAAGUGAAGAACAAAUUGCCUGUGACUGGAUUAAAGAUGAUGUACAUUGUAGGCCUGUACAUGUGUACUUUGUUUUCCUUGGAUUUAAUAUAAAGCUUCAUGUAGGAAUAAUAAUGCAUACCGGUAUUCUUCCCAUUCAAUCGUCAAAUUUGUGAUAAUGUCUGCAUAUCAAGACUAUGCGAGGCAGUAGAUGGAAAGCCUGCUUGUGUGAUGAGGGUUUUCACAGUACGAAUACACAGUCAAUAUUCCAGGAUGCCUAUGUACAUCAAUGUAUCUUUUUAACACAGACAUGUAUACAUGUAGUUCAUAAUAUGCACACAUGUGUGCGCGAUGAUCUGGUGACCUAAUAAAUUAGUGCAAUGAAUUUUAUAAAGAUGAACUGGAUUACUAUUUUUGACAGAUGAUUUAAAGAGGCCAAAGUAAUUUUUGCUCCGAAGGUUGGGGUAGGAAGAGGAGGAGCUGCCUUUUCUGAUAAGGCUUCAUAAACAGUUUUUCUUGACAGGAGUUUUAGAUUCCAGUUGAGCGCCCUCUACUGGUUACAAGCAGAUAUCCUCUCUUUCUCGCCGGGCAACGGAGAGGAAGGAGGUAUGAUGAUGGCUAACAAAAUGAACGAAAGUCUUGUAUUAGCCCUGCAUCCCUAACAUCAUGGCAUGCCUUUAUUUAGCCACACAUUGACGUAAUAACUUUAUUUUUAAUAUUUUGUUCUUUUUAAUACAUUGUCGGAAUCUCAGUUCCUUCCUGCUGCUAAUGUGAUCAUGUGCAUGGGUUCUGCUCCAUGAAUAUCCUGUCUCUUGAUCCAUAAUGCUUCCAACUAGCAUGUAGAAUUAGAGAGGAAAGUCUGAUUUGCAUUUCAGUCCCAUCUAAUGACAUUGAUGUAUGUGCACAAGUACACCAGCACCAGUUGAUAUUCAACAGUGGGACUUGGUGACUAAUUAAGUGGCAUGAAGCAUUUGCAGCCAUCCAUUUCAAUGGCAGGUUUUAACUGAUAGUGAAUGAGAGAGGUGGUGUAAAGUGAAUCUGAGAGGUGGUGUAAAGUGAAUCCGAUUAAUAAAAUUCAAGGUUUUCGUAUUCUAUAAAGGCAAGGUCAUUUAUGUUGAAAUGAAAUAUCACUGCAACAGCACAUAUAUCUGCAAUUGAUUUUUUUAUCAAUGAAAUUUACCAUAUACUAGAAAUUAAGAUUCAACCCCCACCCAAUUUGAUUAAUUAGUUUGAAAUAACCUUGAUAUUAUUUUUGUUGUUCAUCAAACUGAAGGUAUAAAAUCCAAAUGAUCAAUUAUAAUUAUCGAAGUGAAUAUUUGGAUGAUAUAAACUCAUGAUAGUAUACAUGGGGGCAAUUCCAUGAAAUAAUCAACCUUUUUGUAUGUCCGACCCCCAUUUGUCUCAAGUCUUACUUUGCUUCAUAAACUGACUGAGUCAUGGUCAUUUGAGAACAUUACAGACUGCCAAAAGAACAAGUAAUCAGAGACACAAAAUUUACCAGAGGUCGGAUGUGAUUGCCCAUAGGUAUAUCUAAGUGCAUGGUUGAAGGGGAGCUAGAAAUACAUUUUUUUCAAAACAUAUUAUUGAUCUUAAACAACAGUGUAAGAUCUUGGUCUAACCUUCAUUGAUCAUAAUUUGGAUUAUCAUUUUUUUCACAAAACUGGGGAAAAAAAUCAUGUCUCUCCCCAAAAGAAAAAGCUUCGAGCCCUGGAAAUCUUGAAUGGCUAUAUGUUUCUAGUGGGGAAGACAAAUAAAGAAUGCUUAACAUUUCUCUUUCAAUGCAUGGCUGCUGUGUAAUCAUUAUGUUUUGGUUUUAAUUGAUUGCACCUUUUAAUUGUAUGCAGAAUGAUAAACCGAGUUUUCAGUUGAAGUUAUAUAACUUUUCAUCUAUUAUUUAGAUUCUCUAUCCUGAUCCUAGUUGUGUUUAACUCCUUUUCUAUAAAGUUAGUUGAAACAUAAUGAUUAUAUGAAAGGGAUAACAUAAUCACUGUUUGCACUGUACUCAUUACUUAUACAGUGCAUAUCAAAAAAAGUUUACUCUUUGAAAAUAUCCUGUAAAAUUAUACAUUUGUAAUAUCCUG
rnacentral:lncRNA from 1 species